UAGCUUGCUAGGUGUCCUUAGUGGCGCACGGGUGAGUAACGCGUGGGAACCUGCCCAAGAGCGGGGAACAACCAUUGGAAACGAUGGCUAAUACCGCAUACGCCCUCCGGGGGAAAGGCUUCGGCCACUCAUGGAUGGUCCCGCGUCUGAUUAGCUUGUUGGUAAGGUAACGGCUUACCAAGGCGACGAUCAGUAGCUGGUCUGAGAGGAUGAUCAGCCACACUGGGACUGAGACACGGCCCAGACUCCUACGGGAGGCAGCAGUGGGGAAUAUUGGACAAUGGGGGAAACCCUGAUCCAGCAAUGCCGCGUGAGUGAAGAAGGCCUUAGGGUUGUAAAACUCUUUCAACUGUGAAGAUGAUGACGGUAGCAGUAGAAGAAGCUCCGGCUAACUCCGUGCCAGCAGCCGCGGUAAUACGGAGGGAGCUAGCGUUGUUCGGAAUUACUGGGCGUAAAGAGCACGUAGGUGGCGAAGAUAGUCAGUGGUGAAAGGCCUGGGCUCAACCCAGGAACUGCCAUUGAUACUGCUUUGCUAGAGUCCGGGAGAGGAUAGCGGAAUUUCCAGUGUAGAGGUGAAAUUCGUAGAUAUUGGAAAGAACACCAGUUGCGAAGGCGGCUAUCUGGACCGGUACUGACACUGAGGUGCGAAAGCGUGGGGAGCGAACAGGAUUAGAUACCCUGGUAGUCCACGCCGUAAACC
rnacentral:rRNA from 1 species